rnacentral:rRNA from 1 species
ACGGAAGGCAGCAGUGGGGAAUAUUGCACAAUGGGGGAAACCCUGAUGCAGCGACGCCGCGUGAGUGAAGAAGUAUUUCGGUAUGUAAAGCUCUAUCAGCAAGGAAGAAAAUGACGGUACUUGACUAAGAAGCCCCGGCUAACUACGUGCCAGCAGCCGCGGUAAUACGUAGGGGGCAAGCGUUAUCCGGAUUUACUGGGUGUAAAGGGAGCGUAGACGGUAAUGCAAGUCAGAAGUGAAAGCCCAAGGCUCAACCAUGGGACUGCUUUUGAAACUGUAAUACUAGAGUGCAGGAGAGGUAAGUGGAAUUCCUAGUGUAGCGGUGAAAUGCGUAGAUAUUAGGAGGAACACCAGUGGCGAAGGCGGCUUACUGGACCGUAACUGACGUUGAGGCUCGAAAGCGUGGGGAGCAAACAGGAUUAGAUACCCUGGUA